rnacentral:sRNA from 1 species
CAAGGUCUCGUAGGUGAACUGCGGAGGGAUCAUUACACAAUAAAAUACGAAGGCCGUUCGCGGCUGGACUAUUUAUUACCCUUGUCUUUUGCGCACUUGUUGUUUCCUGGGCGGGUUCGCUCGCCACCAGGACCACAAUAUAAACCUUUUUUAUGCAGUUGCAAUCAGCGUCAGUAUAACAAAUGUAAAUCAUUUACAACUUUCAACAACGGAUCUCUUGGUUCUGGCAUCGAUGAAGAACGCAGCGAAAUGCGAUACGUAGUGUGAAUUGCAGAAUUCAGUGAAUCAUCGAAUCUUUGAACGCACAUUGCGCCCUUUGGUAUUCCAAAGGGCAUGCCUGUUCGAGCGUCAUUUGUACCCUCAAGCUUUGCUUGGUGUUGGGCGUUUUUGUCCCCCCCAAAAGGGGGACUCGCCUUAAAAGGAUUGGCAGCCGGCCUACUGGUUUCGCAGCGCAGCACAUUUUUGCGCUUGCAAUCAGCAAAAGAGGACGGCAAUCCAUCAAGACUCCUUCUCACGUUU